GCUAUGGGGCAGGGAGAGCUGUGGGGCUGAGCUAGUUGUGGGUCAGGGGAACUGUGGGGCUGAGCUAGCUGUGGGUCAGGAGAGCUAUGGGGCAGAGCUAGUUGUGGGGCUGAGCUAGCUGUGGGUCAGGGGAGCUUUGUGGGUCCAGGGGGAGCUGUGGGGCAGAGCUAGCUGUGGGGCUGAGCUUGCUGUGGGGCAGAGCUAGCUAUGGGUCAGGGGAGCUGUGGGGCAGAGCUAGCUAUGGGUCAGGGGGAGCUGUGGGGCUGAGCCAGCAGUGGGGCUGAGCUAGCUGUGGGUCAGGGGAGCUCUGUGGGUCAGGGG